GCGGAGGAAAAGAAACCAACAGGGAUUGCCCUAGUAACGGCGAGUGAAGCGGCAACAGCUCAAAUUUGAAAUCUGGCGUCUUCGGCGUCCGAGUUGUAAUUUGCAGAGGGCGCUUUGGCAUUGGCAGCGGUCCAAGUUCCUUGGAACAGGACGUCACAGAGGGUGAGAAUCCCGUACGUGGUCGCUAGCCUUUACCGUGUAAAGCCCCUUCGACGAGUCGAGUUGUUUGGGAAUGCAGCUCUAAAUGGGAGGUAAAUUUCUUCUAAAGCUAAAUACUGGCCAGAGACCGAUAGCGCACAAGUAGAGUGAUCGAAAGAUGAAAAGCACUUUGGAAAGAGAGUUAAAAAGCACGUGAAAUUGUUGAAAGGGAAGCGCUUGCAGCCAGACUUGCCUGUAGUUGCUCAUCCGGGUUUCUACCCGGUGCACUCUUCUAUAGGCAGGCCAGCAUCAGUUUGGGCGGUUGGAUAAAGGUCUCUGUCAUGUACCUCUCUUCGGGGAGAACUUAUAGGGGAGACGACAUGCAACCAGCCUGGACUGAGGUCCGCGCAUCUGCUAGGAUGCUGGCGUAAUGGCUGUAAGCGGCCCGUCUUGAAACACGGACCAAGGAGUCUAACAUCUAUGCGAGUGUUUGGGUGUCAAGCCCGAGCGCGUAAUGAAAGUGAACGGAGGUGGGAACCUUUCGGGGUGCACCAUCGACCGAUCCUGAUGUCUUCGGAUGGAUUUGAGUAAGAGCAUAGCUGUUGGGACCCGAAAGAUGGUGAACUAUGCUUGAAUAGGGUGAAGCCAGAGGAAACUCUGGUGGAGGCUCGCAGCGGUUCUGACGUGCAAAUCGAUCGUCAAAUUUGGGCAUAGGGGCGAAAGACUAAUCGAACUAUCUAGUAGCUGGUCCU
rnacentral:sRNA from 1 species